rnacentral:rRNA from 1 species
CAACGCGCAGAACCUUACCAGGACUUGACAUACUGCAGAUUCUUUUGAGAAAAAGAAGUGCCUUCGGGAAUGCAGAUACAGGUGCUGCAUGGCCGUCG